rnacentral:snoRNA from 1 species
AUGCAUCUUUUUGGCAACCUGGUACAGUUACUGUCUGCUGCUAAGUUUUUCACUACAGAUGCAAGAAAAAAUGUGUCCUUGCACUUUCUGUCUGAUCGUAGCAGCCAAGAUUGAAUGGGAGAAUACAGAA